UACGUAGGGGGCUAGCGUUGUCCGGAAUCAUUGGGCGUAAAGAGCGUGUAGGCGGCCCGGUAAGUCCGCUGUGAAAGUCGGGGGCUCAACCCUCGAAUGCCGGUGGAUACUGUCGGGCUAGAGUACAGAAGGGGCAACUGGAAUUCUCGGUGUAGCGGUGAAAUGCGUAGAUAUCGAGAGGAACACCUGCGGCGAAGGCGGGUUGCUGGGCUGAUACUGACGCUGAGGCGCGAAAGCCAGGGGAGCGAACGGG
rnacentral:rRNA from 1 species